UUCGAUUAUGGCUCAGAUUGAACGCUGGCGGGAUGCUUUACACAUGCAAGUCGAACGGCAGCACGGACUUCGGUCUGGUGGCGAGUGGCGAACGGGUGAGUAAUGUAUCGGAACGUGCCUAGUAGCGGGGGAUAACUACGCGAAAGCGUAGCUAAUACCGCGUACGCCCUUCGAGGGGGAAAGCGGGGGGACCUUCGGGCCUCGCACUAUUAGAGCGGCCGAUAUCGGAUUAGUUGGUGGGGUAACGGCUCACCAAGGCGACGAUCCGUAGCUGGUUUGAGAGGACGACCAGCCACACUGGGACUGAGACACAGCCCAGACUCCUACGGGAGGCAGCAGUGGGGAAUUUUGGACAAUGGGGGGAAACCCUGAUCCAGCCAUCCCGCGUGUGCGAUGAAGGCCUUCGGGUUGUAAAGCACUUUUGGCAGGAAAGAAACGGCACGGGAUAAUACCCCGUGCAGCGGCCAGUACCUGCAGGGCACCAGCUAACUACAUUGCCAGCACAGCCGCGGUAAUACGUAGGGUGCAAGCGUUAAUCCGGAAUUACUGGACGUAAAGCGUGCGCAGGCGGUUCGGAAAGAAGAUGUGAAAUCCCAGAGCUUAACUUUGGAACUGCAUUUUUUAACUACCGAGCUAGAGUGUGUCAGAGGGAGGUGGAAUUCCGCGUGUAGCAGUGAAAUGCGUAGAUAUGCGGAGGAACACCGAUAGCGAAGGCAGCCUCCUGGGAUAACACUGACGCUCAUGCACGAAGCGUGGGGGAGCAAACAGGAUUAAGAUACCCUGGUAGUCCACGCCCUAAACGAUGUCAACUAGCUGUUGAGGCCUUCGGGCCUUGGUAGCGCAACUAACGCGUGAAGUUGACCGCCUGGGGGAUACGGUCGCAAGAUUAGAACUCAAAGGAAUUGACGGGGACCCGCACAAGCGGUGGAUGAUGUGGAUUCAAUUCGAUGCAACGCGAAAAACCUUACCUACCCUUGACAUGUCUGGAAUCCCGAAGAGAUUUGGGAGUGCUCACAAGAGAACCGGAACACAGGUGCUGCAUGGCUGUCGUCAGCUCGUGUCCGUGAGAUGUUGGAAUUCAGAAUCCCGCAACGAGCGCAACCCUUGUCAUUAGUUGCUACGAAGGGCACUCUAAUGAGACUGCCGGUGACAAACCGGAGGAAGGUGGGGAUAGCGUCAAGUCCUCAUGGCCCUUAUGGGUAGGGCUUCACGUCAUACAAUGGUCGGGACAGAGGGUCGCCAACCCGCGAGGGGGAGCCAAUCCCAGGAAACCCGAUCGUAGUCCGGAUCGCAGUCUGCAACUCGACUGCGUGAAGUCCGGAAUCGCUAGUAAUCGCGGAUCAGCAUGUCGCGGUGAAUACGUUCCCGGGUCUUGCCACCCCCGCCCGUCACACCAUGGGAGUGGGUUUUACCAGAAGUAGUUAGCCUAACCGUAAGGAGGGCGAUUACCACGGUAGGAUUCAUGACUGGGGUGAAGUCAUGCAAGGUAG
rnacentral:rRNA from 1 species